rnacentral:sRNA from 1 species
AUGGCUGUCGUCAGCUCGUGUCGUGAGAUGUUGGGUUAAGUCCCGCAACGAGCGCAACCCUCGUUCUAUGUUGCCAGCGGGUUAUGCCGGGGACUCAUAGGAGACUGCCGGGGUCAACUCGGAGGAAGGUGGGGAUGACGUCAAAUCAUCAUGCCCCUUAUGUCUUGGGCUUCACGCAUGCUACAAUGGCCAGUACAAAGGGCUGCGAUGCCGUAAGGUGGAGCGAAUCCCAAAAAACUGGUCUCAGUUCGGAUUGGGGUCUGCAACUCGACCCCAUGAAGUCGGAGUCGCUAGUAAUCGCAGAUCAGCAACGCUGCGGUGAAUACGUUCCCGGGCCUUGUACACACCGCCCGUCACGUCACGAAAGCCGGCAACGCCCGAAGCCGGCGGCCUAACCCGCAAGGGAGGGAGCCGUCGAAGGCGGGGCUGGUGAUUGGGACGAAGUCGUAACAAGGUAGCCGUAGCGGAAGCUGCGGCUGGAUCACCUCCUUUCUAGGGAAUAUCGGGGCUAUUACCCCGGUAGGCGUUCGGCUUGUUCGAUGGAUGCUCGAUUGGUCCGUCCGAUGUCCGAGCUCGCCUAGAACGAACGUCGACCUCGACGUUCACGCUGUUGAGUUUUGAGAGAUUGUGCCGCCUGAAAGGCGAGUGCAGUUUCCUCAUGCGGGCUGAGCCCGUGCGCACUUUGAAAACUCCAUAGCGGCAUUAUAUGGUGUUCUUUCUGAUCAAGAGAAUAAGAGCAUACGGUGGAUGCCUAGGCGCCAAGAGGCGAUGAAGGACGUGGGCGGCUGCGAAAAGCCCGGCGGAGGUGCUGACCAACCGUUGAUCCCGGGAUGUCCGAAUGGGGAAACCCGG